AAGAAGAAAGGAAAAGGGCGUGGAUGAGUGAUGAAGAGAGGUGAAUUGAAGUGAAUUGAAGUGAAUGAGGUGUGGAGCAAGGACCAAGAAAUGUCAGCGGGAGGAGUAUUGGGCUCGUGUCAGAGUCUUCCAGAGGAGAAAGAAAAUCCAACGGAAGAUUCUAUUCGUGUGGUGUGUCGUUUUCGUCCCCUGAAUGAUACCGAGGAGAAGACUGGUUCCAAGUUCAUAAUCAAGUUUCCCGGAGGAGGAGACGACCAAUGCGUCUCCAUUUCUGGCAAGUUGUACAUGUUCGAUAAGGUCCUGAAGCCGAACGUUCGUCAGGAAGAAGUCUACGAUGGUGCUGCCAAGAGCAUUGUGAAAGAUGUGUUGUGUGGUUACAAUGGAACCAUCUUCGCUUAUGGACAAACGUCUUCUGGGAAGACUCACACGAUGGAAGGCGUGAUCGGGGAUCCUGCCUUGCAGGGAAUCAUUCCCAGGAUUGUGGAUGAUAUUUUUAAUCACAUUUAUUCCAUGGAAGAGAAUUUGGAGUUUCACAUUAAAGUGUCUUAUUUUGAGAUUUAUCUUGAUAAAAUAAGAGACCUUCUGGAUCCUUCCAAGGUGAAUCUAGCGGUUCACGAGGAUAAAAAUAAAGCAGUUUAUGUCAAAGGAGCGACAGAAAGGUUUGUAUCUAGUCCUGAAGAAGUUCUUGAAGCGAUUGAAGAGGGCAAGUCGAAUAGACAUGUUGCUGUAACUAACAUGAAUGAGCAUUCGUCUAGAAGCCAUAGCGUUUUUCUGAUUCAUGUUAAACAAGAAAAUCUUGAAAAUCAAAAGAAGCUAUCCGGGAAACUUUAUUUAGUCGAUUUAGCUGGUAGUGAGAAAGUUGGUAAAACGGGUGCUGAAGGAACUGUUCUUGAUGAGGCCAAGAAUAUUAAUAAGUCACUUUCUGCUCUGGGUAAUGUUAUUGCAGCUCUUGCAGACGGCAAUAAAUCUCACAUUCCUUACAGGGAUUCAAAGUUGACUCGUAUUUUACAAGAAUCACUUGGUGGAAAUGCUAAAACCACUAUUGUUAUAUGUGCAUCACCUGCUUCUUAUAACGAAUCAGAAACUAAAUCGACUCUGGACUUUGGAAAAAGGGCUAAAACUAUUAAAAAUGUAGUUGCAGUUAAUCAAGAAUUGACGGCGGAGGAAUGGAAGAAAAGAUAUGAAAAGGAGAGGGAUAGAAACUCCAAAUUAAAAUGCAAAAUUGAUAAAUUGGAAGAAGAGAUUCGAAAAUGGAGGGCCGGUCAAACUGUAGAUAUUGAUGAACAAUUAAAUCUGGCGGAAAUGGAAGAAUCUAUUUCUGCUGCGCCAAGCUCUACAAAUUUGAAUAAACCUACAGCUCAACUUAGUUUAGUUAGUUCUCAUAUUUCAUUAGAGGAUAGAUCAAAACUUACAGAGGAGAGGGAACAAUUAUAUAAAAUGUUGGAUGCUAAAGAUGAUGAAAUACAGGAACAGUCUCAGCUUGUGGAAAAAUUAAAGGAGCAAAUGUUAGAACAAGAAGAGCUUAUCUCAUCCACAAGAAGAGACUAUGAAAACUUGACGAAAGAGAUGUCUAAAAUUCAAGCUGAAAAUGAUUCAGCCAAAGAUGAAGUCAAAGAUGUCCUUCAGGCUCUUGAAGAACUUGCCGUUAAUUAUGAUCAAAAAUCACAAGAAGCAGAAACCAAAACUCGCGAGUACAAUACCAUCUCAGAUGAGUUGUCCCAGAAACAAAGCCAACUAAAUUCGGUAUCAUCAGAACUUCAAAUUGCCAAAGAUUCAGCAAUCCAACAAAAAAAAAGAACCAAUGAAAUGCUGCGUUCUCUUCUGACAGACCUUUAUGAAGUUGGCAUUGUUAUGUCUAAGAAUAACGAUCUCAAAAAACCAGAAUCUAGUAACAUGGACGGUAAGAUAGAGGAAGAGUUCACAGUAACUCGUCUAUAUGUUUCUAAGAUGAAAUCGGAAGUUAAAAGUAUUGUUAACAAAGUGGCUUCUUUGGAAUCAUCACACACAACAUUUAAGAACAAGCAAGAAAGUGUUGAAAAGGAAUUAAGCGAUUACAGGCUCCUUAUAGGUCAGCAUGAAGCCAAAAUGAAAUCGCUUGUUGAAAAUGUGAGGGAAACGGAGAUGAAAAAGCGUACUUUAGAAGAGUCUUUGGAUGUCUUACAAGAGGAAGUUUCACAACUCAAGGCUUCUGAAAAAAUGCACCAGAUGGCUAAUGACGAAAAAGAUCAACAAAAGGAAGUUGAAUUUAAAAAUGCUUUGGAAGGUCAAAUCUCUUCUCAUCGGGAGCAACAUCAGAAACAGGUUGCUCAACUGAGGAAUGAAAUCAUUGAGAAACAGGACAAAAUUGGACAAUUAAAAGAUGAAAAUCAAAAGUUGAUACUAUCCACUGAUCAACUUCAAAAAGAUUAUGAUCGACUAAGAGAAGUUGAGGGCGAAAAAUCAGAGAAAUUAAAUGAAAUGCUUCAAAUGAAAGAUCGUCGGGAUCAAGCCCAACAGGAUCUUAAAGGACUAGAAGAGACUGUUGCUAAAGAACUACAAACUUUACAUAAUUUACGAAAGUUAUUUGUACAAGACUUACAGUCUCGUGUAAAGAAAUCAACGACAGGGGAUGAAUUAGAAGAGCAAGGAGGAUCUGUGGCACAGAGGCAGAAGAUUUCUUUUUUGGAAAACAAUCUUGAUCAAUUAACUAAAGUUCAUAAACAAUUGGUCCGAGAUAACGCUGAUCUUAGGUGUGAAUUACCAAAACUUGAAAAACGUUUGAGAGCUACUAUGGAUCGUGUAAAGGCUCUCGAAACAGCCCUAAAAGAUGCUAAAGAGGGAGCAAUGCGUGAUAGAAAAAGGUAUCAGUAUGAGGUUGACAGAAUUAAGGAAGCCGUUCGACAGAAGAGUUUGUCUCGGAAUAGGAAUUCUGCGUUAAUUGUUAAGCCAAUCCGGGCUGGUCAUCAUCCAACUACAACUGCACUACCUGCCGUUACAAGGCAUGGUGUGUCUGUUCGAUCAAUAUCCAGUACUCAAGAGUUAAAAAAACACUGAUAUUUUUAUUUUACAACUUGACAAAUGAGGAAGGAUAGUUUAUAUAUGGAUAAGCCUAUAUUGUUAGUAUCGGGACUUGCUUAUUUCUUCAUCAUUCAAAUCGAACCAAAUAAGUAUCUGGUGGAGUUUGGAGAUUUUUUUUUACUUCUACGGCAAUUUAUUCAUUAGUUACUUUUAUAACUGAUGUUCCUACAUCUUAUUUAUGGGGGUGUAAUGAGAUAUAAAAUAUCGGGCAAAUCAUCCAAAAUGAGUUUUUUUUUUUUUUUUUUCCUUUUUAGCCGCAGUAUGCUUAACCUGAGUGUAUAAAUUAUUUGAAUUUUUUUAAUGAAAUUUUGUAACGUAGUUUCUAUUAGUACUAUAUAAAUAUUCAAAAUUAUUUUUUCAUCAAAAGUGUCCCAUGUGUCAUUGAUGGGCACGUACUUAUAUGUACGCUUGGAAAAUCUCCUACAAAAAUAUUUUUUCUUAUAAAUUAAAAUGAUGCUUUGAUGAUAUUAUGACUAAUUUUCGUAUUCUUUUAUUCCAAGUUUACUUAAUUACGAUAAAUAUGAUAAAAAAUGCAUUGAUAAAUAUUAUUUACAAGUGUUGAAUACGGUAUUUUUCAAAAUAAUUAGCAUAAAAACCUGCGUCAUACUUUUUGCAUCUAAGCAUUUCGUUUAUUUGUUUUGACAAUUAGAUGUCCUACAUUAUCACAACGUACAGAAGAAAUACUGUUUUAUGUUUUAAGUUUGGCAAAUAGUGGUGUGGUUAUUUUCACCAUGAUAGUUCACUAAGGAUUUUGUACAUACUCGUCUAAAAUCAAUUAAUAAAAUAUUUUGUUUGUCCUUUCAAUUUAAAAUUAUACCACUAUUUCUAUAAACACGCCAUUCUUGAACUAUUUUCACACUUUAAAACCAAUUAUAAAAUCACCAAUACUAUUUUUUUCUUCGUAAACUUAUUGCAUAGUUUGAAAGCAAAUAAUGGGAUAGGUCAACCCCUCCAUAGUGUUACUAUAAGUUUUGCAGAAAUGUGGCUGAUUUAAUUCUACUUUUUUCUUCGCGAAUUGAUCUUUUUCAAUUAAGAUUAUUUGCAAUAUAAACUGGUCUGCUGUCCUUUCAAACAAUGAUUACUGUAUCUUUAUCGUUCAAGUACACUUCAAUUCCCUUCUUUUCAUUUUCAUUGAUUCCUUUUUUGAUGGGAUGGAAAUUUUAUGGAGUCUAUUGGAUGUAUCAGUGACUGUUAAUCCAACUUUGUUUUUAUCUCUCAAGUUGUAUAUGAGGUCCCAAUUCAUAACCAUUUUAUUGUGUUUUGGCUUCCUCAAAAAGAAUGCAAUGAAGAAGCUCGCCGGAAGACGUACCUAAAACGUUUAUCUUAGACCCAAAUUAUGUGAGUUUUGAUUUGGUGUAUUUUUUAUAUUGUGGGGUCAAAAGUAAUAGACCAUCGAUUCAUCCAUACAAAUAUAUUCAAACGUUUCCACAUAUUUUUUUGCAGUUCCGUUUAUGGUUUCAAAGAGAAUUGAAACUUUCCAAAGGGAUUCUGAUAGUUGUUGUUAGCGAAAUGUGUAUACAGUAGAAAUUCAUCAAAUCUAUUUUGGGACAUUGCUUUUUUUUAUUAAGAUAUUUAUUGAGUCUUUGCCAAUACAUAUUUUUUUAUGUCGCUUUGAGAUAGCUACUUAGUAGUAUCACUCGCUCAAAUUGUAUCACUUUUCACCUUGUUACUAAAGGUUGGAUUGUUUAAGUGGUAGGCAGAUAGUUUUUUUCUAUACAAGAAUCUAGUAUGAAUAAUUUUAAGAAGUCGUAGGUAUCAAAUGGAAUGUUGAAGUUAUUCCAUUUUUGAAUUUUCAUACGGUGGAAUUUUAAUUUAGAAGCGAUAUUUGGAAGAAGAAGAAGAAAAAAAAAAAAUCUGAUAGACAUAUAUGUUUAGAUGUACUUGUAAUUUGUUUUUUCACAAACAAGCAUGGGUUAAGCUUCAUCAAAAUUUGGCUCUUCAAUUUCGUCUAAGUCAUAUUGAUGAUGAAUACAAACCUCAGUAUUGGAGUUCACCAAACCUUUUCGAAGACGAUUGCUAUCUUUUUAAAUUGCUUCUUAGUUAUCCCUAUCUUCAUAGGUUUGCUCACGAGGAUAUUCGAAUGAAAUUACAUAAACACUUUUGGAUGCAUCUGGAGGGUCAUUCUCCAUAGGCAAAAGAAUUUGUUGAAGAUUCAAAUUUUAAUUUCUAUAAUUAUUAGUAUAAUUAAUUUCAACACCGAUGUUAAUUAAUUGAUGGUUAGGUUUCUUUAGAUAGACUUCAAAAAUUAAAAAGUUUACAAAAGUAGGAAAAGUAAGACAUUUCUACGGUUCAUUCCCAAACGUACAUAUAUGUACUUACAAAAUUUAUGCAUUAUUAAAUAAAAUUGUAGCAAAAAUAAAUAAUGGGUGGGGCACAUAUCAAUACCUAAUUUUAAAAUAUAAAAAUCAACAAAAAAGGGUGUGCUUAUUCCUUUUAAAGCCCAGUAUGCUAGACCUUCCUCCAGAAAGAUCCAUAAUGCAUAAAACAAGGACCUACACUUAUAACUGCAACAAAUCAUAAGUGUUACUUUGCUUGUUGCAUGCACUAGUGAUUACUUUAUACUUAAGUUAUAUUUCCUCUCUUUAAGAAUAUAAGAAUAAUAACAACGGGUUCUGUAAA
rnacentral:misc_RNA from 1 species